rnacentral:lncRNA from 1 species
AACUCAGUCUGCACUGCACUGUACAAUUUACUUCUAUCCUUCCUAAUCACUGAAUCAGCAGGUGUUUUUUUGUAUACAAGCAAGAAAUAAACCCAAAUGAUUGUUGUCACAGUCCCCAUUUUAAACAUCCCCAUCUACCUAUAUAACUACUCUGUAGUUAGCUAAACCUCUCAAUUUCCUAAUCUUGAACUAAUCAGAUUUCCAAAAGCCAUGAUCAUCUUUUGAGCUACUAAAAAAGAUUCACAAAAAUCAGCCAGAUAAGAUACUAAUGGAAGCACCAUAGCACUAUUCAGUUGAUCUAAAUUCCUGAGACACCAAUAUCUAAUUCUCAAACACAUUAAUGGCUUAGAUUAUAGGAGCUUCUUUAGUUGCUUUAACAAAAAAUGACUGUACACUAUGCUUCUCAUCAGAAUCAC